AGCAGCCGCGGUAAUUCCAGCUCCAAUAGCGUAUAUUAAAGUUGUUGCAGUUAAAAAGCUCGUAGUUGAAUUUCGGGGUUGGUAGGCUGGUCGUGCCACAGGUACGUACUGGUCUCACUGAUUCCUCCUUCCUGAUGAACUGUAAUGCCAUUAAUUUGGUGUUGCAGGGAAACUGGACUGUUACUUUGAAAAAAUUUAGAGUGUUUAAAGCAAGCUAACGCUUGAAUACAUUAGCAUGGAAUAAUGAAAUAGGACGUUCGAUCCUAUUUUGUUGGUUUCUAGGAUUGACGUAAUGAUUAAUAGGGAUAGUUGGGGGGCAUUAGUAUUCAAUUGUCAGAGGUGAAAUUCUUGGAUUUAUUGAAGACUAACUACUGCGAAAGCAUUUGCCAAGGAUGUUUUCAUUAAUCAAGAACGAAAGUUAGGGGAUCGAAGACGAUCAGAUACCGUCGUAGUCUUAACCAUAAACUAUGCCGACUAGGAAUCAGACGAUGUUAAUCUUUUAAUGACUCGUUUGGCACCU
rnacentral:rRNA from 1 species